GACGAACGCUGGCGGCGGGCUUAACACAUGCAAGUCGAACGGAAAGGCCCUGCGUUUGUUGGGUGCUAGAGUGGCGAACGGGUGAGUAACACGUGAGUAACCUGCCCUCGACAGUGGGAUAACUUCAGGAAACGGGGGCUAAUACCGGAUAGGAGCUCCUGCUGGAUGGUGGGGGUGGGAAAGUUUCGGCGGUUGGGGAUGGACUCGCUGCUUGUCUGGUUGGUUGUGGGGGAGUGGCUUACCAAGGCCUUGACGGGUAGCCGGCCUGAGGGGGUGAGCGGCCAUAUUGGGCCUACGAUACCGCCCAGAAUCCUACGGGAGGCAGCGGUGGGGAAUAUUGCACAAUGGGCGGAAGCCUGAUGCCGCAACGCCGCGUGCGGGAUGACGGCCUUCGGUUUGUAAACCGCUUUCGCCUGUGACGACGCGUGAGUGACGGUAAUGGGUAAAGAAGCAACGGCUAACUACGUG
rnacentral:rRNA from 1 species